CAAGUUAAGAAAUAUAAAACCACAGUUUCUGCAAACUCUCUCUCUCUCCAAACAUGGUCAUAAUACUCCGGUAUUCCAAGAGAAGUUUGUGUUUUCGUUAAUUGAAGGUCUUAGAGAGAUAAGUGUUGCAGUUUGGAACAGCAAUACAAAAGACGAUUUCAUUGGCAACGGAAAGGUCCAAUUGGGGAAGGUUCUUUCAAAGGGUUACGACGACCACACUUGGUGUCUGUAUACUAAUAGUGGGGGGUAAGUGCUAUAAAUUACUAACCCUUUUAAGUGUAUAAUCUGUUUCUAAAAUUAUCUAUAAUAUUUUGUCCUCCAAAAAUUUUAUCUCUU